UUGUUUACUAGUGCUGCAUCAUCAAGAUUCACAUGGCUACUUACCCUAUUACUUGGGGAAUGAGAAUCUUGAUGAUGCUGCAUUAGAAAUCAA
rnacentral:pre_miRNA from 2 species